UAUAAAGUAAGCUAAUUAAAGCUAGUGGGUUCAUACCCCGAAAAUGAAAAUUUAUUUCCUUUAUUA
rnacentral:tRNA from 1 species